rnacentral:lncRNA from 1 species
GCUUUUCUUGGACCCCGAAAUUUUCUUAUCUCUUUUUCAUUUUCUUGAACCCCGAACGUUUCUCUGCUUCUUUUUCUUAUUUUCUUGAACCCCGAAAUUUUCUCUGUGCAAACGAUCCUCGGACCUCUGCAUUUGAACCCCAGAAAAUGCCUCAGCACUCCUUUUUGCCAACAUAAUGAACCCCGAUCUCCAGUUUGAACCCCAGUCGCCUGACGAUAACUCUCGAUCGCCAGAAUGAAC